GGAAUCUUAGACAAUGGGGGCAACCCUGAUCUAGCCAUGCCGCGUGAGUGAUGAAGGCCUUAGGGUUGUAAAGCUCUUUCGCCGGGGAAGAUAAUGACGGUACCCGGUAAAGAAGUCCCGGCUAACUCCGUGCCAGCAGCCGCGGUAAUACGGAGGGGACUAGCGUUGUUCGGAAUUACUGGGCGUAAAGCGCACGUAGGCGGACCGGAAAGUUGGGGGUGAAAUCCCGGGGCUCAACCCCGGAACUGCCCUCAAAACUAUCGGUCUGGAGUUCGAGAGAGGUGAGUGGAAUUCCGAGUGUAGAGGUGAAAUUCGUAGAUAUUCGGAGGAACACCAGUGGCGAAGGCGGCUCACUGGCUCGAUACUGACGCUGAGGUGCGAAAGCGUGGGGAGCAAA
rnacentral:rRNA from 1 species